rnacentral:rRNA from 1 species
GCGCAGCAGGCGAGAAACUUCACACUGUGCGAAAGCACGAUGAGGGAAUCCCAAGUGCUUGCACGUAAGUGUAAGCUGUUUCUCUGUCUAAAACGCAGAGAGAGUAAGGGCUGGGUAAGACGGGUGCCAGCCGCCGCGGUAAUACCUGCAGCUCAAGUGGUGACCGUUAUUAUUGGGGCCUAAAACGGUCCGUAGCCGGUUUUAAUAAAUGCCUGGGUAAAUUGUGUAGCUUAACUAUACGAAUUCCGGGUAGACUGUUAAACUUGAGACCGGGAGAAGUUAGAGGUACUCCUGGGGU